GAGAGGAGGUCACUGGUUGAUUCUUUGCCACGCUUCUGACUCCUGGGCUUUUAUUGAUAAAAGAAUAAAUAGAUAAACGCUUCAGAUGUGUGUCCCCCCCCCCAGAGAAGCUGUUACUGCUACUGAGUCAGGCCGCAGGCACAGAGUUAAGCUGCAAAAGUAGGAGAGGUUGCAGAGACCAAGGACAGGGUUAGAUCCAGGUGAACAAAAGGAUGGAUAGUUGGAUGUCAGAUCCAGAGGAAAGAGCAGACUGACAGACAGACAGACAGAUCCGAGUAAGACCAAUCAACAACAGGAAACAAGCUGAGCUGACGCCCCUGGGACACUCCAGUGUUUGCUGCCUGUGUACCAGUUAUCACAUGACAGGUCAACAUCACAGUGCUUCUUUUCAUGGAGCCCAGGAGAAGAGUUGCUCCCAUUCUUCAGCCUGAUACAUCUGCACCAGCAGCUGUUGUUCUGCCAUCCCUCCAGCCUUCCCUCACAGCCUCCUUGGUGUUUUUCCAGUUCUAAGCACCAGCUGGUCCACAGGCAGAAUUCCAACACCAUGACAAUGGAAGACACAUGCCUGUAGAGGUCAGGCUCUGGCACAACAUGGCUUCUGCCACAUUUUACAGAUACAACUGAGUCGAAUCACAGGGAUUUCUCAGAUCCAAGAUGUAAGGAAAGUGAUUCAAAUCCCAAUGGAAGAGUUAUUAAAUAUUGGGUCAGUGUUUUCCAACUUGUAGCAGAUGGCUCUUUGCCAACAUGUGGUCAGAGCUGUGGUGAGCUCCUAAAGGUGAACUUGCUGAGUCAAAUAUAUUAGCAGUUUCCCGAGACAUUGCCACAUUACACUUCACAGAAGUAUUGAUUUUGAAUUGAACCUCAAUGUGUGAGGCUACCAGACCAGGUUUUCCUAUGCCUCACAAUCUUCCUUUGCCACUUUGAUAGUUAAAAGUGGCAUCUCCCUGUACUUCUAACUCAUACUUCUCACAGGAUGAGAGGGAUUGGACAGAUCUUACGUAGCUAUAUUUUCUCUUCUUGAAAUUGGUAUUCAUCAAUCGUCCCCUUGGUUUAUUGCCUUGUUGUCUUAGGGUAUACUAAAGAACUUACAUGUGCUAUUAUAGAUGUGCUUGGUACCAACUCUGGGACAGUUUGCAAUGUUUACUCUGUGAACUUGAAGUGUUCUUAGAUACCUAACUUUGAUCCUAAUGAAGUCUACAAAUCCUCUCCUCCCCUGGGAAAGUCCGAUGGUAUAAGAGAUGGUAAUGCCUUUUAAAUAAGUAAAGUGUGCUAAUUUCA